AACCCAUGGUGUGGACAUUGUAACAAGAGAUCAUGGAACCUCUCUAAAUAAUCAUAAAGAGAUUCUCCUUCUUAUUGCGAAAAACUAUAUAGUUUUUGACGAAU